CCCCCCCUCUCCCCACGCGAUCCCUAACCCCUCCUCCUCCUUCCUAACCCAAAUCCAACAAAUCCCUAACCAGAAGGCCAUCCACAGCAGGGAUGACCGUCCGGAUUCCGGACAGCCUUAUCCACACCGUGGGGACAUCUAGCGGCUCUCCGAUUUCCACUAUUUCUUCUCACCACCAUUUUAUCCUCUCUCCUUUGCGUUAACUCCAAAACCCUUGCUUCCCCAAUCCCUCUCCUCUCGAAACUCUAGCUCCCAUGGCGGCCCUCCUAUCCUCCCAGUCCCAGCGCCGCUUCUCCGCUGCCGCCCCAAGAUCCUCCAUUUCGGCAAGGCGGAGCUGCUUCGAUGGCCACCGGAGACCCCUCUGGUUUCGUCGCCUAGGGUUCUGCUGCUCUUCUUCUCCAUCGGGGUUUUGCAAACUCGAUUCCGGAUGGGGAGAGAGAAUUGCUCUCUAAGGAACGGAAAAACCUGUUUUGGGAGUUUACUGAUCUCUGGUUAGAACCAGAUAAAGGCUCAGAUUGUUUGACAGCCAAAUGCUGCAUUCACAAAAUUGUCCAUGAUGGGCGCUUGCUUCUAAGUGAACCCUUGGGAUCAGUUUUUGAAUUUUCUCUUAUGCUUCGGUUAGCAUCUCCUACACUAGUGCUCUACUGGCAGUUGGCGGAGGAUUCUUUAUCUUCUUAUCCUUCUGACGACGAAACCAACUCAGAACAUGUUAUGGGAGACUUGUCAGAGCCAAUUUCAAUAGUCAAGGCAGAACCUUUUCUCAUAUGCAGAAACCUGUGAAGCCCUGGAGGAAGUAGUUGCUGGGUAGAUACUGGUAGUGCACUACUGUUCAAUGUUACUGAUCUUCUUUCAUGGCUUGACACUUCAGCCAAACUUGAGGUUAUAUGUUUAUUUGGAUUUCACCAGAGCUAUGGGAUCUGCUGAGUAGGCUGAACUUUUUGAUUUUGAUCACAUAUAUUUUGGUUCAAGUAUUGCCAGUCCAGUUGCUAUUCUAUAUGGAGCUCUUGGACCAGAAUGCUUUAGAGAGUUUCAUGUUACCUUGGUGGAAGCAUCAAAAAAAGAAGAAGAACUCAUUUCACCUAAAGGAAUGUGCAGUUUCCAUAGCAUUGGCAAUUGGAUUGGUCACUGGUGUUCCUACAUUGGACUGGCCUGCACAUGCAUCCCCUUGAGGCCCUGUGCUGCCUGAUCUGUCAGUGCUAAUUUCUGGACCACCUAUUAAGGAUCCUGGUGCCUUGUUGAGGUAUGCAUUGCCAAUCAAUAACAAAGCCAUUCGGGAGGUUCAAAAGCCUCUUGAGGAUAUCACAGACAGUCUCAACGUCUCCGGGGUUAGAGCAUUGGAUUUAGUUGAGAGAGUAAGCAUAACUAAAAAAAUCUUAUUCUGAGAUCUUAUUUGCUAUUCCUUACAACUUCUGCAGUCACUCAAGUGAUUUUUGUUUUAUAAUUACUGAAUUAUACAUGUACAGUAUGUCAUGUAAAAUGAUGUUCUUAAAUGAGUACAUUGUGCUCAUCUUUGGCUUUGCUUUACAAAAAGCAGUUUCACCAUUCUUCAACUUAAAAAUAAAAAGGAAUGAGUUUGAAAGAAGCUGAUUUUCAUAAUGCUUAAUAAAAAGUGCUGCUCACACAAGCACAGGUCAAAUAGCUUCUUCUACGAGAUGCUAGAGAAACUAGUUUUCAUUUCAUGCUUGUAUCGAUCACAUUAUGUUUUCAUAAAUAUAAUUGGAUUUGCCUCACCUAAGAGCAGGAAUAGUGGAUAUGCAAAUGGAUUAGACAAACUUAAAGUUAACCAACUCAAUGUGCACCCAAACCUGAAACUUGAUUAUGUUGGUCAUCUCAAAGUCCUUAAUCCAAACCAAAAUCUCAAUGAAGUUGGACUCUAAGUCCAUGUUAGUUACAUACAGCCCAGUUGAAACCAAAUAGACUGAAAACUACUUCCAUCUUUGUGCUAGCAAACACCAAACAAGCUCAACAUGAGUGAGCUGACCAAUAUCAACUGGCGGACAAAGUACUCAGCUGAAUACUCCAAAAAAGAAAAGCUUGAGUACAAUCAUUGUUCAGGAUCUCAGUCAUUUGUUGCAACAAUAACUAUACCGGUAACUAACAGGAGAGGAGCUGCGGAGGCAAUUGGAGCAGGAGAGGAGAGAGCAUGAGGAGGAAAGGAAAGAGCGAGAGGAAGAACAGAAGCAAAUUGCACAUCUUACAAGUUUGGUGACAAAGUUCUUAAAGAAAAAGACUCAAACGCACAAGUCAUCUAUCCAUCAUGAUGGGGCCAUGUAUUCAACUGGUGGUACAAAUACUCGUUGAUACAUCGUGGAGUUAUGAGCAUGUGAAAUCUAGUUUUUGGUACAUGGAUAGCU